rnacentral:rRNA from 1 species
UACAGAGGGUGCGAGCGUUAAUCGGAUUUACUGGGCGUAAAGGGUGCGUAGGUGGUAAAGCAAGUAAGAUGUGAAAGCCCUGGGCUUAACCUAGGAAGUGCAUCUUAAACUGCUUAACUAGAGUAUGGUAGAGGGUAGUGGAAUUUCCGGUGUAGCGGUGAAAUGCGUAGAGAUCGGAAGGAACGCCAGUGGUGAAGACGACUACCUGGACCAAUACUGACACUGAGGCACGAAAGCGUGGGGAUCAAACAGG